rnacentral:misc_RNA from 1 species
CGAGUCCGACGGAACCGAAUCCACGGAGCCGGACUCAGUCACCCCGAGCGACAUGGCAGGGACGGUCGCGGCUGGCGCGGCGGGCGACGAGACGGUGGCCAAGAUCUUCGAAACCAUGGAAUACGGACCCGCUCCCGAGGAUGCCAAAGUGGCGCAGGCGUGGCUGGAUGACCAUGGCCGCAAGUUUGGCCACUUCAUCAAUAACCAGUGGGUGUGUCCAGAAGGCCGUAAGACAUAUGAGACCAAAGACCCAUGCAAUGACAAGGUUCUGGCCUCAACCAUCCAAGGGACCCAGGAAGAUGUUGACCAGGCCGUAGGUGCAGCCAAGGAAGCAUUUCAGUCGUGGAGUUCCUUAUCUGGCCAUGCAAGGGCUCGUUACCUGUACAGCAUUGCCCGCCAUAUCCAGAAGCAUUCCCGCCUCUUAGCUGUUGUAGAGUCCCUGGACAAUGGCAAGACCAUCCGAGAGACGCGCGAUUGUGAUGUUCCCCUUGUGGUGCGCCAUCUCUACUACCAUGCAGGAUGGGCACAGUUAAUGGACUCCGAGAUGAAGGGGUGGAAGCCCGUUGGUGUGGUUGGUGCAAUCGUCCCAUGGAACUUCCCAGUGAUGUUGUUGGCAUGGAAAGUGUGUCCUGCUUUAGCUAUGGGGAAUACUGUGGUCCUGAAGCCAGCUACAAACACCCGCCUCUCUGCUUUGCUCUUCGCCGAAAUUUGCGCUGAGGCUGGCCUCCCCAAAGGAGUCUUCAAUGUGGUGACAGGAGGAGGAGCCAUGGGAUCCCUCCUUGCCACACACCCCGAUGUUGACAAAGUAGGGUUUACGGGAUCUACGGAGGUCGGCCAGAUUCUUAGAAGAGCUACUGCAGGCACAGGCAAGAAGCUGUCCCUUGAACUUGGUGGCAAGAGCCCUGUCAUUGUGUUUGAAUCAGCUGACCUAGAUUCUGCUGUAGAGGGUGUUGUUGAUGCAAUCUGGUUCAAUCAGGGUCAAGUCUGUUCUGCAGGCUCUCGUCUCCUUGUUCAAGAGCCUGUCUUUGACAAGUUUAUUAAUAAGUUGAAGCGAAGGAUGGAGAAGAUGCGUUUGGGAUCUUCCCUUGAUAAGGGCUUUGACAUGGGGGCCAUUAUUGAUCCUUGCCAGAAGAAAUUUAUUGCAGAAUAUGUUGAAGAGGCUAGAAAAGAAGGAGCUGAGGUGUUCCAAGUAGAGGCACCACCUGGCUGUUUUUACCCACCAACCCUGAUCACCGAUGUUGGCACCACGUCGAAAACUGUUGUGGAAGAGAUCUUUGGUCCCGUGCUAGUUGCUAUGCCCUUUAGAACUGCAAAGGAAGCCAUUGCACUUGCCAACAACACCAUCUAUGGCUUAGGUUCAUCUGUAUUUACAGAACAAAUGACCUUGGCCAUUGAGACAGCCAAGAUGAUAAAGGCUGGUGCUGUGUGGAUCAAUUGCCACAACAUGUUUGAUGCUGCAGCAGGCUUUGGGGGUUAUAAGCAGAGCGGCUACGGCAGAGAUGGAGGGAAGGAGGGACUCUUUGAAUAUGUCAAACCAUCAUGGCAAGGACGCUUGAGCUUUGUCCCGCCUGAGAUUGACCUCAAGAAGUUUGGUGCUUCAUACACAGCAGAUCGUCCGUCUAUCAGCCCAGCCAUGCCAGAGAUUAUUAGUGGAGAUAAAACUCUACCCCUUAUUGAUAAAACGUACAAACUCUACUAUGGUGGAGCCCAAAAACGUCCUGAUGGAAACUACUGUCGUGUCAUCAAAAAUGCUGAAGGAAAAGCCUAUGCUCUUGUCGGUGAAAGUAACAGGAAAGAUGUCCGUAAUGCAGUGGAAGCUGCAGCCAAGGCCCAGCCAGGAUGGGACAAGCGCAGCGGAUUCAACCGUUCGCAGAUCCUCUUCUACUUGGCAGAAAACCUGGAGCAGCGCCGCCAGGAGUUUGUAGACCAUCUCACGGUACUGACUGGGAAGAGCACCACAGAGUCUGAGAAGGAAGUAGAUGCAACCUUGGCCCGUCUCUUCCACUGGGCAGCCUUCUGUGACAAGUAUGGGGGAGCUGUGCAGGAGACACAGCUCUAUGGGACGGUGCUGAGGAUCCAUGAGCCUCUGGGAGUGAUUGGGGUGGCAUGUCCAGAUGAAGCUCCUCUCUUAGGGUUUAUCUCUCUCGUUGCACCAGCUAUUGCCCGGGGGAAUGCUGUGGUUGUCGUUCCCAGUGAGAAGUAUCCCUCUGUUGCUUUGGCUUUGUAUCAGGUGCUGGAAACCUCUGAUGUUCCAGGAGGAGUAAUCAACAUUUUGACUGGGGCCCGGGACCACAUAGCCAAGUAUUUGGCAGAGCAUCAGGAUCUCCAGUCCAUGUGGUAUUUUGGAAGCCUAGAAGGGUCCAAGUUUGUAGAGCACACAUCAGCUGUGAACGUCAAGAGGACUUGGGUCAACUACGGCAUGAAGCGCGACUGGUUUGACUCGGAGCAAGGCCAAGGAGAAGAGUUCCUGUAUCAUGCCAUUCAGGCCAAGAACAUCUGGCUUACUAUGGGUGAUAUCUUUGCAAAUUAGAUGAGGGAGAAGGCAGGAGGGAGAAUCCAUUGUGUUUCUGGGGGGAGGGGGGUAAUUUGAAAUAGUGCCUUAUGGAGAUUUUUUCCAGUAAUUCCUCUAUUGUCAAUAACUCCUUUUUUAUGUUACUUUUACCCUGUUAUUUGUUCCUAUAUUCAGAUCAAGUUCCCAGUGGAUUAAAUGUUUGAAUAAAAAUAGACUUGUUGGUUACAAGUUGAACCCAUUAUUCCAGUCGAUAAACUAGAUAUACUCUUAUACUGUAUUUUAUAUCUUGAAUGUCUUUAUUAUUUUUAUCUAUUUCUGACUAAAAGACAGGAAACAGCAGAACUCCAUGUUUCCACAAGAUAGGCGGGUGAAAAAGAAACUCAAAUUAAUGUAACAAGGAUAAAGUACCAGGUAAAAGGACUGUUUUGUUCUGUAUAAAACAAACCUACUUCAGAAAAAGCAAUUUGAUGUGUGACCCCUUUUACCCUAGGUAAUGAUCAUACCUAAUUAUGGCAAUUACCAUAUAUUAGCCUUUAAUGAUUAAGUUUGAGCAAUUUAACAUGCAGUCAAGAUCAAAUGAAUGAAUAUUUGAUAGAUAUCAGCCAUAUUUUGGAUUAUUGUUAGAAAUUGACUGGAAAGAGCAAAGUAAUAGUGGGAUUCUUUAUUCAGAUUGAAAGAUUUUCAUUUAUCCUUAUAAUGAUAUAAUCAUAAAUUUUAAGCCUGUGAAACUUCUUCUCUUUUUUUGUCAAGGAAAAACUAUUCAGUGAUUGUGCCAUAUUUUGAUAAAAAGAAGACAAAGAAAGGAAAGUUUUGUAUUAGUAGUAUAUUAGAAGUAGUAAAUGUAAGAGUAUUAUUAUGUAAAAAGGAACAUUCCAUUGUUUUUUGUUAUUUUCAAAAUGAGAUUCACAAGUAGAUUUAUGAAAUAGAAUUUUGUGUAAUAUAAUUUUUAUAUUUUCUAUGUCAGUAGAGUAUAAUGUGGAUACAAGGCAGACAAAAAUAUUUUUAACACAUUACUGUGAAGACAGCUUAGAACUUGAAUGGUAAUGAAAAGUUAAAAAUGCAAAAGAGAAAAAUCAAAAUUUCCGUGCUUUAAACUUGUUGGUGAGCUAAAUGGCAGUCUUUUCCAUUUGUAAUUUGUUCCUUUUUGUAUGGAAUAGAAAUAGCUAUCACAGUUUACAGUAAGCAAGAAAUGGAGAAUGGAAACCUUUCUCUCUUUAGGAAUAAUUAUUUUGAUAUGGAGAUACUGUCACCUUUUCAAAACAAUUUCAUUCAUUUGUAAAGUGGUUAAAUAAAAGUUAUGGAAGGUUA